rnacentral:rRNA from 1 species
CCUACGGGUGGCAGCAGUGGGGAAUAUUGCACAAUGGGGGAAACCCUGAUGCAGCGACGCCGCGUGAGUGAAGAAGUAAUUCGUUAUGUAAAGCUCUAUCAGCAGGGAAGAAAAUGACGGUACCUGAGUAAGAAGCCCCGGCUAACUACGUGCCAGCAGCCGCGGUAAUACGUAGGGGGCAAACGUUAUCCGGAUUUACUGGGUGUAAAGGGUGGGUGGAGGGAGGUGAAAGUUUGAGGUGAAAGGCGGGGGCUAAACCCCCAGACUACUUGGGAAACUGUAUGGCUGGAGUGCAGGAGAGGUAAGUGGAAUUCCUAGUGUAGCGGUGAAAUGCGUAGAUAUUAGGAGGAACACCAGUGGCGUAGGCAGCUUACUGGAACGUAACUGACGUUGAGGCACGAAAGCGUGGGGAGCAAACAGGAUUAGAUACCCUAGUAGUC